GGUGGAUUGAAGGAGCACUGGACUGGGAGUCCAGAGGCUUGGGUUCAAGUCCCAGACCCACCA
rnacentral:tRNA from 1 species